rnacentral:tRNA from 1 species
GGGUGAUUAGCUCAGUUGGUUAGAGCGCGUCGUUCACAUCGACGAGGCCGCUGGUUCAAAUCCAGCAUCACCCACCA